GAUGAACGCUAGCUACAGGCUUAACACAUGCAAGUCGAGGGGCAGCAUGAACUUAGCUUGCUAAGUUUGAUGGCGACCGGCGCACGGGUGAGUAACACGUAUCCAACCUGCCGAUGACUCGGGGAUAGCCUUUCGAAAGAAAGAUUAAUACCCGAUGGCAUAGUUCUUCCGCAUGGUAGAACUAUUAAAGAAUUUCGGUCAUCGAUGGGGAUGCGUUCCAUUAGGUUGUUGGCGGGGUAACGGCCCACCAAGCCUUCGAUGGCUAGGGGUUCUGAGAGGAAGGUCCCCCACAUUGGAACUGAGACACGGUCCAAACUCCUACGGGAGGCAGCAGUGAGGAAUAUUGGUCAAUGGACGAGAGUCUGAACCAGCCAAGUAGCGUGAAGGAUGACUGCCCUAUGGGUUGUAAACUUCUUUUAUACGGGAAUAAAGUGAGGCACGUGUGCCUUUUUGUAUGUACCGUAUGAAUAAGGAUCGGCUAACUCCGUG
rnacentral:rRNA from 1 species